UACGUAGGGUGCGAGCGUUAAUCGGAAUUACUGGGCGUAAAGUGUGCGCAGGCGGCGUCGCAAGUCGAGUGUGAAAGCCCCGGGCUUAACUUGGGAAUUGCGCUCGAAACUACGAUGCUGGAGUGUGGCAGAGGAAGGUGGAAUUCCACGUGUAGCGGUGAAAUGCGUAGAGAUCUGGAGGAACACCGAUGGCGAAGGCAGCCCCCUGGGCUAACACUGACGCUCAUGCACGAAAGCGUGGGGAGCAAACAGG
rnacentral:rRNA from 1 species